rnacentral:rRNA from 1 species
AUUGAACGCUGGCGGCAUGCUUUACACAUGCAAGUCGAACGGUAACAGGCCGCAAGGUGCUGACGAGUGGCGAACGGGUGAGUAAUGCAUCGGAACGUGCCCAGUCGUGGGGGAUAACGCAGCGAAAGCUGUGCUAAUACCGCAUACGAUCUAUGGAUGAAAGCGGGGGACCGUAAGGCCUCGCGCGAUUGGAGCGGCCGAUAUCAGAUUAGGUAGUUGGUGGGGUAAAGGCUCACCAAGCCAACGAUCUGUAGCUGGUCUGAGAGGACGACCAGCCACACUGGGACUGAGACACGGCCCAGACUCCUACGGGAGGCAGCAGUGGGGAAUUUUGGACAAUGGGCGCAAGCCUGAUCCAGCAAUGCCGCGUGCAGGAAGAAGGCCUUCGGGUUGUAAACUGCUUUUGUACGGAGCGAAAAGGCUCCCUCUAAUACAGGGGGCUCAUGACGGUACCGUAAGAAUAAGCACCGGCUAACUACGUGCCAGCCGCCGCCGUAAAAC